rnacentral:rRNA from 1 species
UACGAAGGGGGGCUAGCGUUGUUCGGAAUUACUGGGCGUAAAGCGCGCGUAGGCGGUGAUCUUUGUCAGAGGUGAAAGCCCGGGGCUCAACUCCCGGAAUUGCCUUUGAAACGGGAUCGCUUGAGUCCGAGAGAGGAUGGCGGAAUUCCUAGUGUAGAGGUGAAAUUCGUAGAUAUUUAGGAAGAACACCGGUGGCGAAGGCGGCCAUCUGGGCUCGGUACUGACGCUCAGGCGCGAAAGCGUGGGGAGCAAACAGG